GAAUUGUUUACUGAUCUAUGAAGUCGUAGAACAAUGGUAAUCAAUCUUGAAGUAGUUUCAUAGCAGGAAGUUUAGCAUGGAAAGCAAUAUAAGCUAUUUACAUUUUUUUAAAAAAACCCUUGGUAUACUGAUCUCUCUAGUUUUUAAUACAGAAGCAAAUUAGACACAAGUUGUUCAGCAAAAGUUAGAACUUGCCUUUCAGUCUUUUUGCAAAGACUGUCAAAAUUCAGAUCUGUGUAACCAGAAUUCUUUGACAUUUCACUUUCAUCAGGCCCCCUGAAGAUACCAUUUAAUCUUUGUUUUUUGUUUUAAUCUGGAAAGCAGAAACAACAAUGUUGCCUUAAGUUACAUGGCAUAGCCUGUUAUGAGAUUCAGAAUUCAUUUUCUUCCACAGAGAAUGAAUUGACUUUUACUGAUAUUGACAAGGUAGUGUCCUUUCUACUGCAGUUUUACAAUUUAAAAAUAUUUAUCCUUUGAACAAAUUUUGGUACACCAGGGGUUUGAUGAUCUUGGUUAGUCAGAAAAUAUCUCCAGAGGUGCUAAAUGGGCACUGGGCAUUAGAUCUUAUUCUGCUUUUUCUUGUUCAACCUUGCUAUAUUUUCUAGAAUUUCAGUAAAUAAUAAACUCUUUUCUCUGUUAUUUGUGUGUGUGAUUUUUAUAGUGGAGAAGGCAAAUGCAAAGGCCCUUCCAGAUGACUGAAACAGUGGGGUCCUCUGCAGCUACAGGGGAUUCUAGACAUUAACUAAAGGCCAGCAAGCACUCAAGUCCCCCAAGUGUUUUCCUGGUGUAAUCACUUGUUAACAACAUUUUUUUCUCUUUCUCUUUUUUUCUUACAUUUUUAGGCUGUUACAGUAAUUUGAAAAACAGUGAACAGGGUUGGGAGCAUAACUCUAUAAUUCUGUACCAAGAAGACUGCUGUUCUAAUGAGUUCUGUUGAACUACUGUAGAUUCCAUCACAUUUUCAAAGGCACCGUUCACUGAUAAACCAGUAAUCUUCUUAAGUCAUUUGAUUACAAUAAAAUAGUUGAAGUUUUACACUGCGCUUCUGCACACACAGAUUGCUAAAGCUACAUGAAAUCACUGGAUGUGUUAUGGAUUGCAGUGUAACUUUUAAUUGCAGUGCCUUAAAAAAUAAAAGGCAGUUUGCACAUUAGCAAGAGAGGAAUAUGCAGUGUGCAAACAAAUCUGGCAAGACCUAGUAGUAAUUCCUAGCUGAAACUAAAAAUAGCAUAAGCAGUUUAAAAUCUCAGUCAGUUUUACAUAGCCAUGUAAAACUUAUUUAAAUCUGAUUGCUUCUAUGUUAUUUUGGGCAAAGUAGCACACUGAAGUAACUUAUUUUCUUUUUGGUAUUUAUUUAUUUAUUUAUUUAUGUAUAUAUAUAUUUGUAUUAAGGCCAAACUAGAUGUGAUAGUGCCUGGGUUUUCUCCAGUAUCAUAGAAAGAGGGGUAAAAUGGAAUCAGUCUUUUAAGUGUAAAAGUGGCACAUGGGUGACAAGUGCAGAACCCAUGUGUGCCUGCAGCUGAAUGUCUUCAAGAUUUUUUCCUCUUGUGCAUGGGGGGGAGGCAGUUCCUGAAUGCCAACACUGGAAAUAUAUUCACCACUAGCAGAAAGAGGCUUUGGGUGGGUAAAUCAGCAGGUUGGGGUAGAUUUCAGGGCCUCUCACCCUUGUGUUACUUCAGUUCUUUAAAAAAUUAUAGUCUUUUUAUGUGAUGGGGCAGGACUGUUACUAUCAUAUCUAGUGUGGAUUUAGUAGCUUGUAGUAGUGUUUGAGGAUCGUAAAUCACUAAGUUUGAAUAGCUUUUAAAGCCAGUCUUUUGCUAAAUAUGAUUUUAUACAGCACACUGAAAUUGUAAAUACCUUAGAAAUUUGGCACUAAGAUGUUGACCAAAUAGAUCACAUAACAUUCCUGAAGUUUUGUCAAGGACACAAUUUGGGUUUGGGUUUGUGCACGGUUUUCUGGUUUGUGGAGGAUUAUAGUUUUGGUCACUAUUAUGUCCUCCUUUUAAAUGACUUUGGUGUUCUUGAAUUUCUUCCUUAUGGGCUUCACUCUUCAGUUGUUCAUAUUUCAAGAGCCCAGUUUCCGCAAGGUACUUAAGCAUUGUCCAGUAAGAUACUUUUAAUUCACUGGGGUGGUUCAUAUGUGUCAAGGCAUGUGCUUCAGUACUCUGCUGAAUUUAAGUAAAUUUUUUUUACUAUUGCAGUGAUAACUGCUGACAUGAUGUUUCUGAAAAUGUUAUACUGCAUUGUGCUGAGCAUAGCCCUGUGUAUCAGUCACAUUCCUGUUUUGAAUGUGUUCCUAUAUCUUGGUGUUGGUUGUUCCUUUGUGUUUUAGAUUUAACACAAAGUUCACGGUAAGGCAUGGCGCUAUGAACAUCAUUUUUAAAUUCAAGGAUUUUUCAAGGAACGCAAAUAUUAACAAUGGCUUUGGGUGGGGUUGUGUAGGUUCUUUGGUUAAUGUUUGUUUCUUUUGUCUGUUUCUUUUUCUUCAUUUCUACACAUUCAUGCAGUAUGUCAUGGUUCUAACAAAGCAGCAGUAAAAAACUCUUGACGCAUGAAAAUUAACUGUUCUUUUCCCUGGUUCAGCCUGAACUAUAUACCAGGCCCUGCUGAAAAUACCACCCAACAGUUUUCUUCUGCAGCUUAUCCAGUUUCUCUUAAGUGCCCUGUACAUAUUUGAAGCAGCCGACACGAGUCGUUGUUCAUAAAACAGCUUUUGAAAGUUGAGAGCACACCCCUGGAGAACCGACUGUGCUUGCUUACGUUU